rnacentral:rRNA from 1 species
AUUGAACGCUGGCGGCAGGCCUAACACAUGCAAGUCGAGCGGAUGAAGGGAGCUUGCUCCUGGAUUCAGCGGCGGACGGGUGAGUAAUGCCUAGGAAUCUGCCUGGUAGUGGGGGAUAACGUCCGGAAACGGGCGCUAAUACCGCAUACGCUCUGAGGGAGAAAGUGGGGGAUCUUCGGACCUCACGCUAUCAGAUGAGCCUAGGUCGGAUUAGCUAGUUGGUGGGGUAAAGGCCUACCAAGGCGACGAUCCGUAACUGGUCUGAGAGGAUGAUCAGUCACACUGGAACUGAGACACGGUCCAGACUCCUACGGGAGGCAGCAGUGGGGAAUAUUGGACAAUGGGCGCAAGCCUGAUCCAGCCAUGCCGCGUGUGUGAAGAAGGUCUUCGGAUUGUAAAGCACUUUAAGUUGGGAGGAAGGGCAGUAAGUUAAUACCUUGCUGUUUUGACGUUACCAACAGAAUAAGCACCGGCUAACUUCGUG